AGGUGAUAUACCAAAAUGUUGAACAUUUCCAGUGAUGUUUGACUUCUCUUUAAUUAACUUUUUUCUUCUAGAAAGCUGACCAGUUUAUAUUGAAUUACAUUUAUGUGUGCAGUUUUUUUUUCUCAUCAAAAGAUUGCCACAAAUUUUAUGCAUGAAAACAAUCAAAAUAUGAAACUUGAUCCGCCAUUUAAUUUGUGUAACCUUUCUGACAUACAUAUGCUCUGGUAUCUUGUUAUAAUAACUGAUUAAUUUUUCAUUCAUUUAUAUUUAAUCCCUGAAAUCAUAUUUAUAGAAUUAUAGAAUGAUAUGGUUUAUAUUUGAAAGAAUGAAAGAACUUUUUGCCAUAUCAUAAUCACAGUGACCACAUAAUUUGAAACUAGAAUCACAUUUAAAAUGAGCACUACUUAGAAAUACUCAAGAAAUCAGGUUGAAUAACCUUUUCUGUAUUUUUAAGAAUAUGAGGAAAAAAUCAAUUAAUGCUUCAUUUGACUCUGCCAAGUUUUUAUGGGUGAUUAGGAUAGUGUAUGCUGCAUGCUGUAUUUGAAUAAAAAGAGAAGAUUAUCUUGUGUAAAAAUGAGUGCCAUUGAAAUGAUAGCAAAUGUUUGAAAUGAAAAUGCAAAAUUAAACCACCACCACCCCCCCUCCAAAAAAAAGCUUGAUUGAUGUAUUGUGAUAAGUUUAAUUGUAAUUUAUUGCAUUUGAAUGGAUCCAUAUCAAGUUAGGUGAACUCCGUUUAUAUAUGUUUAAAUGAUGUUUUGAUGUUAAUUACACUAAUUGUGUAUAGAUGUGUAUAACUUUGUGAUUGUGUUGUGUUUCUGAUAUUUUCCCUGGGAUCAAAGAAGAUCUAGAAUGAUGAAAGGGGUAUAUUACUGUGUGAAUUUUUGUAUGGUUUAUACAUAUCGGUGUAUGUUAUGUAUCAUUUCAUCAGAAACACAAACUUAUUAUGCUUAUUCAUUUGCCUUCAAAUUUCCAAAUUAUAGUUGUAUUCAGAAUUUAGAAACAUUAAAGCUUAAAAUAACAUUUUGCUUCGAUAGAUUUUUAAAAAAAAAUUAUGAAAAUUCUAUUAUUUUGAAUCAUUCUCUUGUUAAUAUUGUGUAUUGGUACUAUUGUUAGUUCAUGUAUUUGAUAUGCUCAAUUUGACUGAUAAGUGCAAUUAUCAUGAGUAUGUAUUUAUAAUAAUAAAAAAUCACAAAAUGU
rnacentral:misc_RNA from 1 species